CGGUUAAGUUAGAAAGGGCGCACGGUGGAUGCCUUGGCACUAGGAGCCGAUGAAGGACGGGACAAACACCGAAAUGCUUCGGGGAGCUGUAAGUAAGCGUCGAUCCGGAGAUGUCCGAAUGGGGGAACCCACUGCCCGUAAUGGGGCAGUAUCCAUACCUGAAUCCAUAGGGUAUGGAGGGCAACCCGGGGAACUGAAACAUCUAAGUACCCGGAGGAAGAGAAAGCAACAGCGAUUCCCUGAGUAGCGGCGAGCGAAACGGGAACAGCCCAAACCAAGAGGCGUGCCUCUUGGGGUUGUAGGACACUCGAUUAAGGAGUGACAAAGGAACGGGGUAGACGAAGAGGUCUGGAAAGGCCCGUCAGAGAAGGUAACAACCCUGUAGUCGAAACUCCGUUCCCUCCCGAGUGGAUCCUGAGUACGGCGGGACACGUGAAAUCCCGUCGGAAGCAGGGAGGACCAUCUCCCAAGGCUAAAU
rnacentral:rRNA from 1 species